GUAAGCUACUAAGAGCGAAUGGUGGAUGCCUUGACUGGUAGAGGCGAUGAAGGACGUACUAGACUGCGAUAAGCUACGGGGAGCUGUCAAGAAGCUUUGAUCCGUAGAUUUCCGAAUGGGGCAACCCAAUGUAUAGAGAUAUACAUUACCUAUAUAGGAGCGAACGAGGGGAAUUGAAACAUCUUAGUACCCUCAGGAAAAGAAAUCAAUAGAGAUUGCGUCAGUAGCGGCGAGCGAAAGCGCAAGAGGGCAAACCCAGUGCUUGCACUGGGGGUUGUAGGACUGCAAUGUGCAAGAGGUAAGUUUAGCAGAACAUUCUGGAAAGUAUAACCAUAGAGGGUGAUAGUCCCGUAUGCGAAAAACAAACCUUAGCUAGCAGUAUCCUGAGUAGGGCGGGACACGAGGAAUCCUGUCUGAAUCCGGGUCGACCACGAUCCAACCCUAAAUACUAAUACCAGAUCGAUAGUGCACAAGUACCGUGAGGGAAAGGUGAAAAGAACUGAGGUGAUCAGAGUGAAAUAGAACCUGAAACCAUUUGCUUACAAUCAUUCAGAGCACUAUGUAGCAAUACAGUGUGAUGGACUGCCUUUUGCAUAAUGAGCCUGCGAGUUGUGGUGUCUGGCAAGGUUAAGCAAACGCGAAGCCGUAGCGAAAGCGAGUCUGAAUAGGGCGCUUAGUCAGAUGCUGCAGACCCGAAACGAAGUGAUCUAUCCAUGAGCAAGUUGAAGCUAGUGUAAGAACUAGUGGAGGACUGAACCCAUAGGCGUUGAAAAGCCCCGGGAUGACUUGUGGAUAGGGGUGAAAGGCCAAUCAAACUUCGUGAUAGCUGGUUCUCUCCGAAAUAUAUUUAGGUAUAGCGUUGUGUCGUAAUAUAAGGGGGUAGAGCACUGAAUGGGCUAGGGCAUACACCAAUGUACCAAACCCUAUCAAACUCCGAAUACCUUAUAUGUAAUCACAGCAGUCAGGCGGCGAGUGAUAAAAUCCGUCGUCAAGAGGGAAACAACCCAGACUACCAGCUAAGGUCCCUAAAUCUUACUUAAGUGGAAAACGAUGUGAAGUUACUUAAACAACCAGGAGGUUGGCUUAGAAGCAGCCAUCCUUUAAAGAAAGCGUAAUAGCUCACUGGUCUAGUGAUUUUGCGCGGAAAAUAUAACGGGGCUAAAGUAAGUACCGAAGCUGUAGACUUGCACACAACUUAGAUUAUUUAAGUUUAGAAUAUGAGAAACUAAGUUAUAUGUUUAGUUAUAUUUUUACUGAUUUUUAUAGAGUAAAGAUAGAAAUAAAACUUAGUAAAAUCAGUAAAAAUAUUCUUAGACUAAAGUUAAGUAGUUUAAGUUGUGUGCAAGUGGUAGGAGAGCGUUCUAUUUGCGUCGAAGGUAUACCGGUAAGGAGUGCUGGAGCGAAUAGAAGUGAGCAUGCAGGCAUGAGUAGCGAUAAUUAAUGUGAGAAUCAUUAACGCCGUAAACCCAAGGUUUCCUACGCGAUGCUCGUCAUCGUAGGGUUAGUCGGGUCCUAAGUCGAGUCCGAAAGGGGUAGACGAUGGCAAAUUGGUUAAUAUUCCAAUACCAACAUUAGUGUGCGAUGGAAGGACGCUUAGGGCUAAGGGGGCUAGCGGAUGGAAGUGCUAGUCUAAGGUCGUAGGAGGUUGUACAGGCAAAUCCGUAUAACAAUACUCCGAGAACUGAAAGGCUUUUUGAAGUCUUCGGAUGGAUAGAAGAACCCCUGAUGCCGUCGAGCCAAGAAAAGUUUCUAAGUUUAGCUAAUGUUGCCCGUACCGUAAACCGACACAGGUGGGUGGGAUGAGUAUUCUAAGGCGCGUGGAAGAACUCUCUUUAAGGAACUCUGCAAAAUAGCACCGUAUCUUCGGUAUAAGGUGUGGUUAGCUUUGUAUUAGGAUUUACUCCGAAAGCAAGGAAACUUACAACAAAGAGUCCCUCCCGACUGUUUACCAAAAACACAGCACUCUGCUAACUCGUAAGAGGAUGUAUAGGGUGUGACGCCUGCCCGGUGCUCGAAGGUUAAUUGAUGGGGUUAGCAUUAGCGAAGCUCUUGAUCGAAGCCCGAGUAAACGGCGGCCGUAACUAUAACGGUCCUAAGGUAGCGAAAUUCCUUGUCGGUUAAAUACCGACCUGCAUGAAUGGCGUAACGAGAUGGGAGCUGUCUCAAAGAGGGAUCCAGUGAAAUUGUAGUGGAGGUGAAAAUUCCUCCUACCCGCGGCAAGACGGAAAGACCCCGUGGACCUUUACUACAGCUUGACACUGCUACUUGGAUAAGAAUGUGCAGGAUAGGUGGGAGGCUUUGAGUAUAUGACGCCAGUUGUAUAUGAGCCAUUGUUGAGAUACCACUCUUUCUUAUUUGGGUAGCUAACCAGCUUGAGUUAUCCUCAAGUGGGACAAUGUCUGGUGGGUAGUUUGACUGGGGCGGUCGCCUCCCAAAUAAUAACGGAGGCUUACAAAGGUUGGCUCAGAACGGUUGGAAAUCGUUCGUAGAGUAUAAAGGUAUAAGCCAGCUUAACUGCAAGACAUACAAGUCAAGCAGAGACGAAAGUCGGUCUUAGUGAUCCGGUGGUUCUGUGUGGAAGGGCCAUCGCUCAAAGGAUAAAAGGUACCCCGGGGAUAACAGGCUGAUCUCCCCCAAGAGCUCACAUCGACGGGGAGGUUUGGCACCUCGAUGUCGGCUCAUCGCAUCCUGGGGCUGGAGCAGGUCCCAAGGGUAUGGCUGUUCGCCAUUUAAAGCGGUACGCGAGCUGGGUUCAGAACGUCGUGAGACAGUUCGGUCCCUAUCUGCCGUGGGCGUAAGAAGAUUGAAGAGAUUUGACCCUAGUACGAGAGGACCGGGUUGAACAAACCACUGGUGUAGCUGUUGUUCUGCCAAGAGCAUCGCAGCGUAGCUAAGUUUGGAAAGGAUAAACGCUGAAAGCAUCUAAGCGUGAAGCCAACUCUAAGAUGAAUCUUCUCUAAGCUCUCUAGAAGACUACUAGUUUGAUAGGCUGGGUGUGUAAUGGAUGAAAGUCCUUUAGCUGACCAGUACUAAUAGAGCGUUUGGCUUAUCUUUA
rnacentral:rRNA from 1 species